CCUACGGGCGACAGCAGUGAGGAAUAUUGGUCAAUGGACGAGAGUCUGAACCAGCCAAGUAGCGUGAAGGAUGACUGCCCUAUGGGUUGUAAACUUCUUUUAUAUGGGAAUAAAAUGUUCCACGUGUGGGAUUUUGUAUGUACCAUAUGAAUAAGGAUCGGCUAACUCCGUGCCAGCAGCCGCGGUAAUACGGAGGAUCCGAGCGUUAUCCGGAUUUAUUGGGUUUAAAGGGAGCGUAGGUGGAUUGUUAAGUCAGUUGUGAAAGUUUGCGGCUCAACCGUAAAAUUGCAGUUGAAACUGGCAGUCGUGAGUACAGUAGAGGUGGGCGGAAGUCGUGGUGUAGCGGUGAAAUGCUUAGAUAUCACGAAGAACUCCGAUUGCGAAGGCAGCUCACUGGACUGCAACUGACACUGAGGCUCGAAAGUGUGGGUAUCAAACAGGAUUAGAUACCCCAGUAGUC
rnacentral:rRNA from 1 species